rnacentral:rRNA from 1 species
GCUUGACUGUAUCUUGGAAUUGGGUUCGGGCUUUUCUUGCGCAGACUAGGUGGGAGGCUAUGAAGAUUUUCUUCUGGGAAAGUCGGAGCCAACAGUGAGAGACCACUCUGGAAAGGCUAGAAUCCUAAUGGUGAUCCUUGAAUCAGGACACUUGACAGUUUCAGGUGGGCAGUUUUUCUGGGGCGGAAGCCUCAUAAAAGGUAACUGAGGCGCGCAAAGGUCCCCUCAGUCUGGACGGAAAUCAGACAUUGAGUGUAAAGGCAAAAGGGGGCUUGACUGCAAGACCCACAAGUCGAGCAGGGGCGAAAGCUGGCCUUAGUGAUCCGACGGUGCCGUGUGGAAGGCCGUCGCUCAACGAAUAAAAGUUA